UGGAACUGUUUGUGAGUUCUUUGGUUCAUUUGUUUUAUAAAUUCUAGAUUUUCAGCUCAGUUGUUAUUGGAGAUUUAUCUUAGUCGUUCAAUAAAAUUCUGCAUUAAAAGCCUAAGAAGAUUGUUGAUGUCGUCAAUAAGAUCAAUGAGAAGAGAAUAAUUUCUGCUGAUGAAGGAAACAAUGCUACUUCUACCAAUGGACACGAAAAUUGUUGUAUUAUUUGAAGGGUGGCCAAGUUGAUUAUGGAGAACAGCACACCAAGACAUGUGGACACUCUCAAUCUAUUAACAAGGAUGGCAGGGCACUACCUUGAAUGGGACGAGGAUCACUCUAUUCACUUGUAAUUAUGUAAAACAAUAUCAUAUGUAAUUAUAUUUGGAAUUAUUGAUAUUGAGAAUUUUUUUU